GCAGGGUGUUGUGGUACACACCUGUAGUCCCAGCUACUUGGAAGGCUGAGGUGGGAGGAUUAUGAGUUCAAGGCCACCUUGGACAGUUAGCAAGAUUCCAUCUCAA
rnacentral:sRNA from 1 species